AUGGAUCCUAAUGGCUCCUAUCCUAACAAAGUCAGAUCUAGUGAAAGUGAGGCCAAAAUUUCUCCCUUGCAUGAUGCUCCGAGAGGCAGAGCGAUCAUGCCGAUGUUGAGUGAUUUUGUUCCCCUGAAUUCCACACCAUCAGAUUCAACUUGGGUAUGGAACACCCCACCUACCAUUGAUGCACCACAUGUAGUUACCAUGCCAUCAAUCAAAGAUUGUUCCAUCAUGCCAUAUCAAACCAGUGUAUCACUAUCAUCACUACCUCCACAGUUGCCUGAUGCAAAGUUUACUCCUUCAACUAGGGUCAAUACCCUUCCUUCUCUGCCCAACCAUAGGGAAAUCUUUGAGAACCCGCUAGAAAUAUUCUCGCACCAAGAUUUCCUGUCAAACCCAAUUAGGAACUACUUUAGUUCAUCGGAUCAAAGGAGGAUCUUUUCCAUGGAGUCUCCAUCAAUUACAUCCUUACUCCAAGGAGAUCCCAUUGCAGUUGUCAAUGCCCACCUUAAUACUAUUGGAGCAAUAGAUGAUGGUCCAAUCUUUGAGAUCCCAACCAGGAGCGUCUACAAGGGUCCACAAAAUAUACCACAUGGGACGCUAACCCGUGAUGCUAGUUAUGUUGUGCCUACCCCUUUUGGUCCAUUCGCCACAUCCUCACAUGACCCCAGAGAAGACAAGACUCCUAUGGGUGUACCAAAUGGCAUUACUAAUAGUGGUAUUGUGCAUACUACUACGAGUUCACGUAAGUACAGAUGCAGCAUUUGCAAUCUCACCUUCAACUCAUCUCAAGCCUUUGGUGGUCACAUGAGUUCCCAUAGCAAAGCAAGGAAGAACAAGCUACAAAGUUGA
rnacentral:rRNA from 1 species